AAAAAGAAGAAGAAGAAGAAACGGUAAAAGGGUCAAAUCUUAAACCCUAAACCUUCCUUCAAGUAUGAGAAUAUAUAUAUAUAUAUAGAUACAUAGAUGUACAUGUGUGUACACAUACACACUGCAAAAACUUGCGAUUUUUCAUCGGAAGUUUCAAUACAGCAGCAAAACCAAAGGACCCUUAAACAUAAAUGAUGGUUUGUUUGAAGUUUGCUUCGCGAAAAUGGAAAAAUCACCGGCAAACAGAGAGAGGGCAACCACCAUUAAAACUCCCCAAAUACCUCUCUGUUAGCCUCACUUUUUU
rnacentral:misc_RNA from 1 species